CCUCUCUGUCAAUUAAAACCAACCGUUGAAGCAUUUUCCCUCUCACACAAUUAAAAACGCAAAGGAAAGUCGUCGAACCCACUAGCCGCGUAACGCUAAAAAUCCCUUCCGUCCUAUUUUCCUCCACCCAUCGCCAUCGAAACAGUGCUCCAGCCACCACCGUCCAAACGCCACAAUAAGCCAUUGCCGUCGAACCCACUAGCCAGUGUUGUCUGUUGAACCGAGAAAUCUAGCCACUGUCGUCGAAUUUUGGGUUGCAACGCUGUCUAAAUCAAGUUUGCGUUCGGUGCUUCUCCUCCAUUACAAGAUCUUCCGCCGUUCGAGGCCUCUCCUCUCUCCUUCCUCCGUCCGGUUCGUUCUUCGUUCAUUCCUAUAGUGCUCUUUAUUGCUGGUUUAGUAGUCUGUGUCCAAAUCUCAUUUUCUAGAUUGAAUCCAAAUCCUGUACAAUGCCUAAUCUCACAAGAAACAUCCAAUUUGAUGAGAUUUCUAUGAAGUUGAGUUUGAUUUUCUCUGAUUGUCUCAAGAUACUGAUCAUUCACCCUUGGCAAAGGUUUUCGAAAAAGGACAAGUCUUCAUCCAUUACUUACCUUCUUUCUGCAUUUGAUGAAAUCUGACUCUUUAUGUAAUACUCACAGGUAAGAUUAUUUAUUGAUCCCAUGCUUACAAUUGGUUAGUAUUCUACUACUUAAUGGAACUCCUUUUUUCUUUUUCGUUCUUCAUAUAAUUUAGGUUGCUUAGUUUAGUUGAUGUCUAUCCCACUUAGUUUAGUUGGUAUUGUAAAGCUUAUUGAACUGUUUGGAUUGUUGUCGCUCAGUCUAGUUCCAUAGCUCUGAAAGCAACGUGGAUUUGCAGCUAUAUAGCCAUGUGCCAGUUCCUCGAAAAGAAAGAAACAAAUAGGUCUUUCUAUUAGGAAGCCUCUGGGCGAGUUAUUUUUAGAUGAUUCCACAUUUUGGAACAAAAGAGUAGAUCAAAAAUUAGAUGACCUUGUGAGUAUCUUUUGUUUGUGUUUUGAUUUGGUUGUGAGGGAUUUAUUAGUUAUGAAUACAAUCAAAGUUCCCUGUUUUGUUUCUGUAAAGUCUUUCUAUUAGGUGCUCACAUUUUUCAUAUAUAGGCUUUGAAAGUUUAAUAUCUAGUUCAUUUCUCUGUUUGGUACAGUUAUGUAGGACUAUAUUCAAGGCCACUUAUUUGGAUCUCAUCUGUAGCUCAUAUGAUAUUCCUUUUUCCAUUCACUUGUAAUUCUAAAGAGAUAUUGAAUGAACAUGGGCAUAUAUUUUUAUUCUCCAUUACCCUGUUUUGUUUAAUUGUUUUUCCACAAGUGAAAAUUCCUGAAAAAACCGGUGGUGGUUUUUUUACACCACCACCGCUGUUGGUACUUGAAGACAUGCAAUAUAGAUACUUCAUGGUUCCAGAAAAAUGCAUGUCUGGACGUUCAGGCAUCGAGUUUGAAUCGACUUGUUGAUGCUCAUGCUAUUACACAUUUGUAACUGCCCACUAAUUUUUUUUUCUGAUGUCAAACUCUGUCAGAUUCUCAUCAUGAAUUCAAGUCUAAUUGCAUAAUCAUAUUUGGUUCCAAAAUAUUUUCUUAUAAAAGAUCUGGAGCUUCAUGUUGAAGAUUAGUCUAAGUAUAGUUCACCGGAUGAUGACCUGAACUUCGUCAAGUUGUAUUUGCUCAUUCCACUUGGCUAAUGUAUUACCAUUUUCAUUUCAGUAGUAAUUAUUCUCAAGUUCUCCAUUUUAUAUGGUGAGCAUUUCAGUAGUAAUACCGUUUUUAUUUCAGUAGUAAUUAUCUUAUGGAUAUUUAAACAAUAUUUGAUAUAUGAAUUAGAUUUGCUUUUGUUAGCCAUUCUUAUCCUAAUUGAUUCUGAGCUAGAUUAGAACUUGAAUUGGGAGGUCUUUGACAGAUUCUUGCACAAUCAAUAAUGGGAUUCUGGGUUGUGACUUUUUUUUAGUACAUUGUAUUAGGAUUCACCAUGUAUGAUUGAGUGAUUAGGAUUUUGCUCGACUAGUUUGAAACAAAGUAGUCUGAAGUCUCCUCCUCUUGUGCUCGUGAAAUAGUAUUUCAAUUUAUAAAUUUGAUGUAAAGUUUACUAAGUUUUCUUAAUUUCAAGUUUAUUUUGAUUUGUAGCCUAUCUAUGUGGUUAUGUCAUGAAUUAUAUUGAUCUUAUUGUGUAAAGUUUUAUUGAGAGUUUAGUUGUAUUAAUGCAAGUGAUAUUUGACAAUUUUUUUUUCUUUUUUUUUUUAUUUAUCAGGACUUGAAAAACCUCGAGGUAGUUGAAGAAUAUGUGGACCAUGAGAUCAAUCAAGUUCAUUUAUGCAUUAGUUUGAUUAGAUUAGAUUAGGUCACACAUACAUGUAUUACAGUUAAUUUAUCUUUUAGAUUAUUGUAAAACUUUUAUCGACAAAGUAAUUUAUAUAUUUUAUUAUUAAUAUAAAAAUCUUUCUAAACA